GCGAACGGGUGAGUAACACGUGGGCAAUCUGCCCUUCACUCUGGGACAAGCCCUGGAAACGGGGUCUAAUACCGGAUAACACUCUGUCCCGCAUGGGACGGGGUUAAAAGCUCCGGCGGUGAAGGAUGAGCCCGCGGCCUAUCAGCUUGUUGGUGGGGUAAUGGCCUACCAAGGCGACGACGGGUAGCCGGCCUGAGAGGGCGACCGGCCACACUGGGACUGAGACACGGCCCAGACUCCUACGGGAGGCAGCAGUGGGGAAUAUUGCACAAUGGGCGAAAGCCUGAUGCAGCGACGCCGCGUGAGGGAUGACGGCCUUCGGGUUGUAAACCUCUUUCAGCAGGGAAGAAGCGAAAGUGACGGUACCUGCAGAAGAAGCGCCGGCUAACUACGUGCCAGCAGCCGCGGUAAUACGUAGGGCGCAAGCGUUGUCCGGAAUUAUUGGGCGUAAAGAGCUCGUAGGCGGCUUGUCACGUCGGAUGUGAAAGCCCGGGGCUUAACCCCGGGUCUGCAUUCGAUACGGGCUAGCUAGAGUGU
rnacentral:rRNA from 1 species